rnacentral:rRNA from 1 species
GAUGAACGCUGGCGGCGUGCUUAACACAUGCAAGUCGAACGGAAAGGCCCAAGCUUGCUUGGGUACUCGAGUGGCGAACGGGUGAGUAACACGUGGGUGAUCUGCCCUGCACUUCGGGAUAAGCCUGGGAAACUGGGUCUAAUACCGGAUAGGACCACAUUUUGGAUGGUGUGGUGGAAAGUUUUUCGGUGUGGGAUGAGCUCGCGGCCUAUCAGCUUGUUGGUGGGGUAAUGGCCUACCAAGGCGUCGACGGGUAGCCGGCCUGAGAGGGUGUACGGCCACAUUGGGACUGAGAUACGGCCCAGACUCCUACGGGAGGCAGCAGUGGGGAAUAUUGCACAAUGGGCGCAAGCCUGAUGCAGCGACGCCGCGUGGGGGAUGACGGCCUUCGGGUUGUAAACUGCUUUCGCUAGGGACGAAGCGCAAGUGACGGUACCUGGAGAAGAAGCACCGGCUAACUACGUG